UACGUAGGGGGCAAGCGUUGUCCGGAAUCAUUGGGCGUAAAGAGCGUGUAGGCGGCCCGGUAAGUCUGUUGUGAAAGUCCAGGGCUCAACCCUGGAAUGCCGAUGGAUACUGCCGGGCUAGAGUUCGGAAGAGGCGAGUGGAAUUCCUGGUGUAGCGGUGGAAUGCGCAGAUAUCAGGAGGAACACCGGUGGCGAAGGCGGGUCUCUGGGCCGUAACUGACGCUGAGGAGCGAAAGCGUGGGGAGCGAACAGG
rnacentral:rRNA from 1 species